rnacentral:lncRNA from 1 species
UCGUGUUGAUAUGGAAUCUAAUGGUCAUUAGAUAUAGAGAAAAGUCUAAAACAGUUUCUUUAAAAUAUGUUCAAAAGGAGCCAUAUGGGGUAAUUGUCGUUAAUGAACAUGAAAUAAUUAAUGUUCGGAAGGUUUCUGUUGAAUCCUGGUUCUCGGCUGGAAUUGCCUUCCGCGUAAAGUGAAUGCAUUUAUCUAUCUUUUACAGGAUUUAAAAAAAAAUUUUUUUUUUUAGAUAUUUUUACUUUUCUUGGAAUAUCCGACUCGACCCAAUUUUAACGAAAAUCUAUUAAGGUUUAUAAAAUCUUUUGAAAAAGUCCCAUAUCGUUAAAUUGAAUAAAGAUAAG